rnacentral:lncRNA from 1 species
CCGGCAGAAACCCUCUCUCUUGAGCAUCCCCUUGCCAAUCAUUGUAGUUCGUCAAUCCCUUCAAAACACUUUCGCCACUUGCCCUACGCAUCCAGUCGUUUGAGCCACGGCAGAUCACCGCCCAUCCCUGGUCGUUUCCGUCGUAGGUAAGCAUCACAUUAAUCUCUCUCAAAAUCGGAUCUUCCUCAAAAGACUUCCCGUGUUGUAACUUGGAGUGCAACAUGCUCUCUAGUCGCACCCAGAAGAACCAUAUCAGGGUCAAAUCUGGAAGCACGUAGCUAAGAUUCUCUGAUCGGAUUAUGUCAUUGUUCUUUCUCACUUUCUCCCUAGGGUUACUCUUUCCAACAUACAACAUCUCCAGCUGGAUCCCUGCUGCACGCGCCACCGCCUGUGCGGUGGUUGUAAACCUCCUUAUCCACUCCAAAUCCUCCCCUCCGUACAAACAAAUGUACUUCCCGUCAGCAAUCUACAUGAUAAUCGGGAAAAUAUGAAUAUCAAUCGGAUUAAUUUACAGUAAUUAGGUUAAAAAAGAGAAUAGAAUUAUUAGAAUACCCAAUUGAAAAUCAUUGGCUCGAUGGAAUCUGCUAGCAACUCAAUCCUCCAAGUUUCCUCCUUCCACAGGGCUUCUUCCCUCAAGCUAGUGAAAGGGAAAGCCACACUCCCCCAAAUCCACAUCAUAUGUAACGCGUUGGUGUUAACAAUCCUCCCUUGAGGAUCCAUCACCACCAACAUUGGUUUCUGGUUGAAGUGCCACACCUCCUUGAUGUACUUGAUCGCUGCUGGAUCAAGCAACGAGGGGUGGAACACUGAAUACCAUGGCAUCAUGUUUCUUACCCCCUCGAACUUGAUCUGGUCCUCAUCGGUCCACGGUGUGGACCGAAGAUUGGGAACCACCGGGAGCCAGACGACUUCGUACUGGCUCUCGGGCCUUGUUGGGCUUUGCUUCGCUUCCCUAUACAUCUGGUCAAGAACCGAUAGCUCCUCUGGAGGGAUGUCGAGGUCCGAAAUGAGAAGCAACACAAUCUUUUUCUUUAGUACCUCGAUUGUAACCUAUAUGAUCAUGCAUGAAAACUAAAUUCGAUUAUUUAUUGUAUAUCUAAAAUCUAAAUAUAUAAUAAAGUUUGAUGAAAAUUAUGCAGUUGAUCCGAUCGAACACUCACCCGAGUCUUUGUAGAGCUUUCAUACAAAGGUGGUUGAUCGUCCUUCAAGUAAAUCAAAUGCCUGAGAGGCUUCGUGUUAUCGAGAUGCCCGGUAUCCAUAAUGCGAAGAAUCGUUAGGUACGCUUCAAUCUGCCUCUUUUCAUCUAAUUAUCAGUGUAAAAAAAUUCAACUUAGUUAUGAAAAUUGAUGCAUACACGUUCAUUAAGUGAUGAUAUGUAACAUUUUUGGUCUUACUAAUGUGGUGAUUGCAAAGGUCUAAUUGGUCUUUGAGAUGAUCAUGAAUAUUGCUGAUCUUGUGGGCCAAACUCGAUAACUCCCAAGCUUCUGUGGUCGUCGUAAUAUGCCUAAGUUAAAAAAAAAAAUGUUAUAUUCAUUGAUAAGUUGUAGUAAUGGAAGUAAUUUGUGUUUUUCUAUGAUGAGGGUAUUUAUGUCUUUUGCAUAGAAAAAAAAAAAGAGAAUUGAUAACAUACUCAUGGCCCAUUCCGAUAAGGUUGAUAAGUAUGGACGCACAAGCCACAAUGCUACGGAUAAUCCAAUAAACCGCAGUGGGAAUAUGAGCGGUGGCCGUCAUUAAUUCCGGUGUUUCGGGGGUGAUAUACUGACCGGGGAGCUCUUUAAAUUCAACAAUGCAACGUGUCAACUCAAGCAUGGCCUUAAUGAGGGUGGUGACAGCCUCAAACCUCGGUUUGAGAGCUUCACCACGCUCAAGCACGUCAGGUAGCUGCUUAAGGUGGGCCAGUGAUUUGGCGAGUGGGUUGGCAGUAUAAAGCUGUGCCACCAACCAAAACUCGCCAUAAUUCACUGCAAAAGCUGCUAAAGAAAUAACAGCUUUUGCAUCCCACUCGUAGUUGGAAAGCAUGUUGAAGAUCCCCGUAGUGCUUGCAUGCGCGUCUCCACCACCAAUACACUUGCAAGAAAUCUGUAACACAUUUCAAAUGUAAAAAAUCUAACACAAAAAAAUAGUUCUCAAAAAUUAAAAUGCAUUUUUUUUUACGGUUUUACCUCGCACGAAACCUUAUUGAUUGUGAUUGCCAUUAUUUCAAGCAUCUCGUCAAGAUCGCUGUAAAUCACACGCUCAAUAAUUGCGUCCACUUCCGCUUGAUUACCCUACAAAUAAAAAAUCAAAUUUCAGAAUUCGAUAUUCGAAUAAAUGUAUGGAUUUUAAUUUAUUACAUACAGGAGGGGCGGGUGGUUGGGUGUUGGCGGGGGCGGCCCUACGCAUGAUGUCAUCGAUGAUCUGUAGAAGAGGUUUAACAUCAAAGGAGGAGCCAUCUGGUGCAUGUGUGGCCAAGAUAUGUUUCAUCAUGGCAUUGUCAUCUGAAGAUGAG